rnacentral:lncRNA from 1 species
ACAUCCAUAUCCAAUUGCCACUGGUCUCCAUCCAAAUCCAAUUUUCUCUUCACUCCUAAAGUUGUUGGCUGGAGGUGGAGGUGGAGAAUGAGGUUCAGGUCCACAUUUCUUUGACAAUGGAAAUCCACAUAGCCCCAAGUUUCCUUCAUAUGAAUCAUUUGUAAAUGUAUUGAAUUGUGUUCCUUGAGGUAUUUCUCCCACAAGAUGGUUAUUUGAAAGAUUNNNNUCUAUUAUGGGAAAGGUUAAGGCCUUUGAGUGCAUGAAGCUCUCCAAUAGCAUUUGGAAUCUCUCCUUCAAAAUUGUUUCUUGACAAAUCAAUACUUACAAACAAUUUUGGAAUUCUCACCAGUGUCAUAAUAAUUAUGUAAAAAAUUACUAUUUAAGGUCUUAAAAAAUACCCCGGACCCUCGCUAACAUUUGCCUUACUUUAUUUAUAUGGACAGUCUUGAAAACCUUGAUAUGUGAACGUUGCUAUUAAUUACUUGGAAAAGGCAUCUGCAGAGAGUCUACAAGAAGAUCAUAUGAAAUUGAAAACUAUUGGUUGUGUCUUUGUGAAUUUUGUAAAAUCAAAUUUCUNNNNNNNNNNNNNNNNNNNNNNNNNNNNNNNAGCAAUCUUUAGAUGAUUCUCAUGAAGCAAUGAGCAGUACAAGUGUACAACCUUUUACAUUAUGUAGCAUUAGUAACAAACUUAAACAAAUUAAGCACUUUUAAGGAUAUUGGUAUAAACUUUUUAGCUUAGUUUCUCACUUAUGAUUCCUUCAAGUGAUCCAACAAGACUCAAUACUGUCACCAAAAAACAAACAAAGCUAAAAAUCCUAAGAAAAAUCCAUUUUGUAGACCAAGAUUCAAUUUUAUUGUGCACAAAAUACAUCUCUACUGGGAAAUAUAUAGCUGAUGCAUGAAAUGUAGAUGUAGAAAUUGUUAGAAGGAAUUAUGAAGAAAAUUAGUCACAGUAGUAUACUUUUACAUACAAAAGCAUUUUUGAGGGAGGAAGUACAAAUUAUUAGUCAUCAUAAUUCAUAAUCAUAAUAAUAUAUAGAGUAGAAUUAUAAGCAGAAGUUAAUCACCUGUUCUCCUGAAAGGCUCUUCAACUAACACCUCGCCGGAAGAAGAGUAGUGAUCAAUCAACAGAGCGUUGUCUAUAAAUUCUUCCUCUCCCAUUGAUUUCUAUGACUCUUCCUUCCUUCAAUGGUGGGUCAAUGUGCUUCUCAAUAAUAAUAACCAGCUACAAGAACAAUAUAUAAGUCAAAACUUUAGUGUGACUUGUUAUUCAUUUUAGAUUCCAAUUUCCAACACGCAAGAAUGUGAUGUGAGGCAUAGUUAUUAUAGGUUGUAUGUGCACCAGAAAAUUUUCCAAUUAAAAACACAUAACUCUGAGUUUCCUUCAUAUGAAUCAUUUGUAAACGUAUCAAACUGCUUUCCUUGAGGUAUUUUUCCCACAAGAUGGUUAUUUGAAAGAUCCAAGAAUUCAAGGAAACCUAAAUUGGUUAAUUAUAUUGCGGUCGCAAUUGCAGUUGUCAUCAUCAAUUAAAAGAUAUGAUAUUAUUAACAUUAACAAACACAUAUCAGAAUAAAAUCAACAAGGUGACAACAAUAUCACAAUAUUUAUGGAUCAUUCAUGCUGAGAAAUAAUUAAAUAAUUAUUAUAUUACUUAGGAUAAACCCAUAUGCAUGAAAAAUUAGAACUUGAUAUGAAAACCUAUAAUUCAUUAUACUAAAAACAACAAAUGCUGUUUGAUUUUAAGCUUUGAGUUUUUGAUUUUGAGUUAUUGUUUGGAACUUUGUGUUAUUGAUUUUGGAACUUUGAUUUUGAUUUUUAAGCUAGUUUUAAGUUCUGAUCCCACAAUUGCUUGGUCCCUCUUUUUACUUUUUUUUUUCUUGGUAGUUUUGAUUCUUUGGACAUAAUUGAAAUUAAUCUACAACAGGUGUUCAUGAGUUGUCAAUUGCUUUACAUGUUCACAUUUGGAGCUACUUCAAUACUCUAUUUUAUGAUGAUUAUUGGUCAUUGUGGAAGGAUCAUCACUACUAUUUUAAUCAUAGUGCAAGUGUAAUUCAAUCCUUAUUGUAAUAUAAGUUUGUUAGAAGGGUUUGUUAGGAUACCUAACUCACAUGACAGUUACUUGCUACACAAGGUAACUAGUUUAGUUUAGAGAGAGUGCUAUAUAUAGCUUUUUAUUUUCAUAAAUAAAAGGUUAAGUGAAAUCAAGAACGUGAACAAAAUUGGCUUGACAAUGGUUAAUUAACUAAACAACAAUCUUAGCCAUUCGGUAUAAAGUAGAAACCAACACUGCAUGAACAGAACUGCAAUAUCUUUGUUGUUGACGCUUGGCUCCUUCCGAUGUUUCGGAGCUUAUUGUAAAGAGAUGAUCUUAGUUCUUUUAUUGCUUUACCUGAUCAUGUUAACCGUAAUAAAAACACUGCAUUAGUCUUAAAAAAUAGUUUUCUAUGAUCAGUAUCAUUAUGUGAUUCAAUUAUGAUAGAACAAAAAGUAAUAAACUAAUGAAAACAGGAGAAAAAGAAAAGCAAUGUUACAAAAUUAUAAUUUAGACUGUGUAAACUUGGUGUAGAGAGAACCAAAUAUGAAAUAUUCUAUGGAGGUGAGGACUGAGGGGAAUACUUAGAGUGUGACAUAAUUCAGAUGAGAUUGUCUGUCAUAAGAUAUCAUUUCAUCACUAAACUUUGAUGCAAAAUUUUCAUCUUAUUUUAUUAUUAAAAAAAAUAUAAUUUCUCAUCUGAUUCUAACUGAAAUGCAUAUAUAUAUAUUUGAGAUAACUUCACAGUACAAACUGUAUUUUUAUAGGUUUUGGAUAAAAAGUGAAUUCUAGCUAAAUUACAUAUGGAUAAACUUGCAAUUUUAUUAAUUAAAAACACACAAUAUAUUCAUUCAGAUUACAAACUUACAACCCAAAAUCAAACCACAAAAAUGAAACUAUGACAUUGGCACCAUCUGAGUUGAACCAUUGGUCCUCCUCACUCUAGCCCUUCUCCUGUUCACUCUUCUCUUAGGCUGACCACCAAAUAUCAUCACAAGCCAUCUUGGCUUUCCAAUCAAAAACACGAAAUAUCCAAUGCCUAUUCCAAUCACAAAUCCACAUCCAUAUCCAAUUGCCACUGGUUUCCAUCCAAAUCCAAAUUUCUUUUCACUCCUAAAGUCGUUGGCUGGAGGUGGAGGUGGAGAAUGAGUUUCAGGUCCACAUUUCUUUGACAAUGGAAAUCCACAUAGCCCCAAGUUUCCUUCAUAUGAAUCAUUUGUAAAUGUAUUGAAUUGUGUUCCUUGAGGUAUUUCUCCCACAAGAUGGUUAUUUNNNNNNNNNNNNNNNNNNNNGGGAAAGGUUAAGGCCUUUGAGUGCAUGAAGCUCUCCAAUAGCAUUUGGAAUCUCUCCUUCAAAAUUGUUUCUUGACAAAUCAAUACUUACAAACAAUUUUGGAAUUCUC